rnacentral:lncRNA from 1 species
GUCAGAAAUCACAUUGUUUUUGUUCUCUCACCAAAGCCAUGCCUUACUUAGCGUUUCUCGGACUUUAAUACAACACUGACUUCUGCAAAAUCCAGCCGAGCUUUCACGGGUCCCCCUUCUGCUGCUGCCACUUUUACCAAGAAGGAUCCUAAAAACAGGAAGGAGAAAACAAACAAACAAACAAUCAAACAAACAAAAAAACAGCAAGAUUUUUUAAAAAGCCAUUGCGUCUCUGAGAGAUUCAAUGACCAUGUUUGAUGACAAGCCAGAUGGCAGCCGUUCUCUAGACCCGGUGCCAAGAAGCCUGACAGGAACCGCAAUUUACCUUCCGCGGUGAGGCUAGCCGCCGAAG